rnacentral:rRNA from 1 species
UACAGAGGUCCCGAGCGUUUGUUCGGAUUCACUGGGCGUAAAGGGUGCGUAGGUGGUGAGGAAAGUCGGAUGUGAAAUCUCCAAGCUCAACUUGGAAAUGGCAUUGGAAACUACCUUGCUGGAGGUUUGGAGGGGGGACUGGAAUGACUUGGUGUAGCAGUGAAAUGCGUAGAUAUCAAGUGGAACACCAGUGGCGAAGGCGAGUCCCUGGACAACACCUGACACUGAGGCACGAAAGCUAGGGGAGCAAACAGG